GUGGCAGUAGCUCAGUUGUAGAGCUCCUGCUUCGUACGCGGGAAGACCUGGGUUCAAUUCCCGGCGGCUUUC
rfam:Toxocara canis scaffold764, whole genome shotgun sequence.